rnacentral:lncRNA from 1 species
UACCAAACAACGCGGUACCCAGCAAGCAAACCUCUAAACACAAGUUAAGUGAACAAAAUACGGGUACUCCUUAUGCCCUAUCUAAACCUCCAAGCUACAACGUAACAGUUUACCAAACAAACAACUCAAUAACCACACUAUAUCAGUUUAUACAUUCUCAAUAACAACUCAAUAUUCAACAGUCACAAGCUUCAUAGAGAAACAAUCAGAAGAUCAGCAAAACACAUGUUCAAGUUCAUCCAUAAUAAAACGUGCAAUGCCAAGGGAUGCAAUGUCAAAUAUUGUGAUGCAUGUCUUUCUUAACGAUACACAGCCGCUGUCUCUUAGUACGGGACCAAUGGGGGACAUAUCUGUCCAUGCAUCUGUCGUGGCGCAUGACACGACCCUCGAUAAUAGUAACCAUCGCGGCGCGCAUUACGUCCCUCAAAAUAUAAUACCAUCGCGGCGCGCGAUACGACCCUUGAAAUAGUACAUCCUCUUAUCACUUAACUCUUAUCACAAUCAUGUCUCAGAUACAAUGCAAUUGACAUGCUCAAAUGAGAAAUGAGGAGAUAACCAUUUUGAUAACAAAGCACAAUUCACAACAAGGAAUAUAACACCAACAAAUAAACAACAAGUCUCCAAGUCAUUCUCAACACCACACAAGGAAAUACACGAAUUUCAUACGCUUAACAAGGGUUUAAAAAUCCACUUGCCUUAGUCAAUCAAAUGAUCACUCCGAGGCUUGAACCUUCCCCUUCCGUUGAGCUUCCGAACCAAUGGAAUCUAUUCAACCAUAUAUUCGUAAUAAGGUUUCAGAACUAACAACACCCACAUUAUUAUGUUUUUAACUUUGACCUUUAAAUUCACCCAAUUUAUGACCAAAGUUCAUAAUUCUUAAUGCCAACUCACAUUUCAACUAUCAUAUUUUCCAAUUAAUACAACCUUAAUAGUUUUCAUAUAAUAUAAUAUACCAAUAUUUAAUUUUCUUGACUCACAACAUAACAAAAAAAUGUAUCAUCUCUAUAAGUCAUAAAAAAAUAUAAAGUUACACUACUUGUCGCUCUCACGCUAAAACGGAAAAAUUAUGGACACACUGCUUCAGCCAUGCAUUGAAUCCUUAUGCAUAUUUUUACUAAUACAAUACUUUUUAAUGCUUCUCAAUUAUAUCCUCAUUAUCAUGUCGUUAUUGGCUAUCCAUUAUUUGGCUAAUUAUAAUGCCAAAUCUCUAUUAAAAAUUGAUACAAAAGAGGCAGAUGAUGCUAAUCAAAAAUUGAUACAAAUAUUUCAAUUUGCAUAGAGAUACUAUGGAGCAAGUUCAUAUAAUUCAGUAUAGACUAAUGACAAAUCUCUAUUAAAAAUUGAUACAAAUAUUUCAACCUUUUUCAAACCCACAUUAUAAUACUAAUAUAAUUUCUAUCAUCACUUUAUGAAAAGAAUAAAAUAUAAUUUUUCUUAAUUCAACCAAAUCCACACUAACAUGUCAACUUUAAAAAUUCACUCAGUUCCAUUUAAUACAAAUCAGUAACAUUGCAUAUAUACGAUAAUAAGAUAAAGCAGGCAUAAAUUGAAAAGAUUCGCAUACCUUUAGGUCGAAUCUCCGUUGCCGAGGUUGCACGAAUGGUAUUCUAGGGUAGUUUUCUUUUCCUCU